GAUUGUCACAGGAUAUAGCUUUGAAGAAUCCUGCGCUUAGCCUGGGCUGGGAAAGAUGAGAUUCCCGGGCAGUUUUUCCAACGUCCGACUCACUCCUCAGGCUGCUCGGGGGUCUCCCCGUUGCAAUCUGCGCCUUGCGCAGGGAAAAAAGAAUGGAAAGUUGCUGGUCUUCGAAAGGGGCGGACUUCGUCGCCACUUUCAGCGGCUCGUCGCCUGCUGAAUCCACAGCAGCAAUGUUCACAGCAUCUUCACCGGGAGAAGAUUCUAUCUUAAGGAAACUCUUUUCUCAUGCAUAAGAAGCACCUCCUUACCUGUUAAAAGUUUAAUCAUGAGAUUGCAGGAAUUCAGUCACAUCUUCAGGCUCCACUUCUAAUUCUAGUUCUCUUGGUAUUCCACCGCACCUGCAGUGACUUCCUCCACCGAAGUCUUGAACCUCUCAAAGUCAUCCAUGAGGGUUGGAAUCAACUUCUUCCAAAGUCCUGUUAAUGUUUGUAGUGUUAUGAAAUAUAUAUACAUAUAGGUUUUCAUACACAGGAAACAGAAUCUCUUUGACCUUCUCUUGCCUUCCUUUUACCUGCCUUCCUUUCACCUACCCCAAAGCAGGACUCUAAUCUUCUGCUUUUAUAAUUG
rnacentral:lncRNA from 10 species